rnacentral:rRNA from 1 species
GUAGGGAAUCUUCCGCAAUGGACGCAAGUCUGACGGAGCAACGCCGCGUGAGUGAUGAAGGUUUUCGGAUCGUAAAGCUCUGUUGCCAGGGAAGAACGCUAUGGAGAGUAACUGUUCCAUAGGUGACGGUACCUGAGAAGAAAGCCCCGGCUAACUACGUGCCAGCAGCCGCGGUAAUACGUAGGGGGCAAGCGUUGUCCGGAAUUAUUGGGCGUAAAGCGCGCGCAGGCGGUCAUGUAAGUCUGGUGUUUAAACCCGGGGCUCAACUCCGGGUCGCAUCGGAAACUGUGUGACUUGAGUGCAGAAGAGGAAAGUGGAAUUCCACGUGUAGCGGUGAAAUGCGUAGAGAUGUGGAGGAACACCAGUGGCGAAGGCGACUUUCUGGGCUGUAACUGACGCUGAGGCGCGAAAGCGUGGGGAGCAAACAGG